GCGAACGCUGGCGGCAGGCCUAAUACAUGCAAGUCGAGCGGUCCCUUCGGGGGCAGCGGCGGACGGGUGAGUAACGCGUGGGAACGUGCCCUUUGGUACGGAACAACUGAGGGAAACUUCAGCUACUACCGUAUGUGCCCUUCGGGGGAAGGAUUUAUCGCCAUUGGAGCGGCCCGCGUUAGAUUAGCUAGUUGGUAGGGUAAUGGCCUACCAAGGCGACGAUCUAUAGCUGGUCUGAGAGGAUGAUCAGCCACACUGGGACUGAGACACGGCCCAGACUCCUACGGGAGGCAGCAGGAGGGAAUCUUGCGCAAUGGGCGAAAGCCUGACGCAGCCAUGCCGCGUGAAUGAUGAAGGUCUUAGGAUUGUAAAAUUCUUUCACCGGGGACGAUAAUGACGGUACCCGGAGAAGAAGCCCCGGCUAACUUCGUGCCAGCCGCCGCGGUAA
rnacentral:rRNA from 1 species